GCAGUCGAGGGGUAACAGUCCCGUUCUUCGGAAUGGGAGCUGACGACCGGCGCACGGGUGAGUAACGCGUAUGCAACCUACCUUUAACAGGAGGAUAGCCCCGAGAAAUCGGGAUUAAUACUCCAUAAUUUUUAUGAACUGCAUGGUUUAUAGAAUAAAGUUCCGGCGGUUAAAGAUGGGCAUGCGUGACAUUAGUUAGUUGGUGAGGUAACGGCUCACCAAGGCAUCGAUGUCUAGGGGUUCUGAGAGGAUUAUCCCCCACACUGGUACUGAGACACGGACCAGACUCCUACGGGAGGCAGCAGUGAGGAAUAUUGGUCAAUGGGCGAGAGCCUGAACCAGCCAUGCCGCGUGCAGGAAGACGGUUCUAUGAAUUGUAAACUGCUUUUCUACAGGAAGAAACCACCUUACGAGUAAGGUGUUGCCGGUACUGUAGGAAUAAGCAUCGGCUAACUCCGUGCCAGCAGCCGCGGUAAUACGGAGGAUGCAGGCGUUAUCCGGAUUCAUUGGGUUUAAAGGGUGCGUAGGCGGAAUAGUAAGUCAGUGGUGAAAUCCUGCGGCUCAACCGUAGAAUUGCCAUUGAAACUGUUUUUCUUGAAUGUAGUUGAGGUAGGCGGAAUGUGUAAUGUAGCGGUGAAAUGCAUAGAUAUUACACAGAACACCGAUUGCGAAGGCAGCUUACUAAGCUAAGAUUGACGCUGAUGCACGAAAGCGUGGGGAGCGAACAGGAUUAGAUACCCUGGUAGUCCACGCUGUAAACGAUGAUCACUCGUUGUUUGC
rnacentral:rRNA from 1 species